rnacentral:rRNA from 1 species
CUACGGGUGGCUCCAGUGGGGAAUAUUGGACAAUGGGGGAAACCCUGAUCCAGCAAUGCCGCGUGUGUGAAGAAGGCCUGCGGGUUGUAAAGCACUUUCGGUUGGGAGGACUGCUUCUAGCACUAAUAUUGUUGGAAGUUGACGUUACCUUCAGAAGAAGCACCGGCUAACUCCGUGCCAGCAGCCGCGGUAAUACGGAGGGUGCAAGCGUAAAUCGGAAUUACUGGGCGUAAAGCGCGCGUAGGCGGCUAGAUCAGUCGGGUGUGAAAGCCCCGGGCUUAACCUGGGAACUGCAUCCGAUACUGUCUAGCUUGAGUACAGGAGAGGAGAGUGGAAUUCCACAUGUAGCGGUGAAAUGCGUAGAUAUGUGGAGGAACACCAAUGGCGAAGGCAGCUCUCUGGCCUGAUACUGACGCUGAGGUGCGAAAGCGUGGGGGGCAAACAGGAUUAGAUACCCCUGUAGUC